UAAUUGAAGAGUUUGAUCAUGGCUCAGAUUGAACGCUGGCGGCAGGCCUAACACAUGCAAGUCGGGCGGUAACAGGGAGAAGCUUGCUUCUCCGCUGACGAGCGGCGGACGGGUGAGUAAUGUAUGGGGAUCUGCCUGAUGGCGGGGGAUAACUACUGGAAACGGUAGCUAAUACCGCAUAAUGUCUACGGACCAAAGCGGGGGACCU
rnacentral:rRNA from 1 species